GACGUAGGGGACGAGCGUUGUCCGGAUUCAUUGGGCGUAAAGCGCGCGUAGGCGGCCACGCAAGUCGGGGUGUGAAAUCCCGGAGCUCAACUCCGGAACUGCACUCGAAACUGCGCGGCUUGAGGUAGGUAGGGGAGAUCGGAAUUCCUGGUGUAGCGGUGGAAUGCGCAGAUAUCAGGAGGAACACCGGUGGCGAAGGCGGGUCUCUGGGCCGAUACUGACGCUGAGGAGCGAAAGCGUGGGGAGCGAACAGG
rnacentral:rRNA from 1 species